GAACGCUUGUCCGGCAGGCCUAACACAUGCAAGUCGAGCGGUAGAGAGAAGCUUGCUUCUCUUGAGAGCGGCGGACGGGUGAGUAAUGCCUAGGAAUCUGCCUGGUAGUGGGGGAUAACGCUCGGAAACGGACGCUAAUACCGCAUACGUCCUACGGGAGAAAGCAGGGGACCUUCGGGCCUUGCGCUAUCAGAUGAGCCUAGGUCGGAUUAGCUAGUUGGUGAGGUAAUGGCUCACCAAGGCGACGAUCCGUAACUGGUCUGAGAGGAUGAUCAGUCACACUGGAACUGAGACACGGUCCAGACUCCUACGGGAGGCAGCAGUGGGGAAUAUUGGACAAUGGGCGAAAGCCUGAUCCAGCCAUGCCGCGUGUGUGAAGAAGGUCUUCGGAUUGUAAAGCACUUUAAGUUGGGAGGAAGGGCAUUAACCUAAUACGUUGGUGUCUUGACGUUACCGACAGAAUAAGCACCGGCUAACUCUGUGCCAGCAGCCGCGGUAAUACAGAGGGUGCAAGCGUUAAUCGGAAUUACUGGGCGUAAAGCGCGCGUAGGUGGUUCGUUAAGUUGGAUGUGAAAUCCCCGGGGCUCAACCUGGGGAACUGCAUUCCAAAACUGACGAGCUAGAGUAUGGUAGAGGGUGGUGGGAAAUUUCCUGUGUUAGCGGUGAAAAUGCGUAAGAUAUAGGAAGGAACACCCAGCUGGGCGAAGGCGACCACCUGGAACUGAUACUGACACUGAGGUGGCGAAAAGCGUGGGGAGCAAACAGGAUUAGAUACCCUGGUAGUCCACGCCGUAAACGAUGUCAACUAGCCGUUGGGAGCCUUGAGCUCUUAGUGGCGCAGCUAACGCAUUAAGUUGACCGCC
rnacentral:rRNA from 1 species